rnacentral:lncRNA from 1 species
CACGAUCUGCCCAAAUCUUUCCCUUCCAAAUUACACGCCUCCAUUAACCCCCACUUCUAGUCUCAUUCUCUCUCUCUCUAAUCUCUCAAUUUCGCAAAGCUGCUGUUCGGUGGAGGGUGACGACUUCACGGCUGAGUCGAAGAAGAGAACCAUGGGAAAGUGCUCGUGGUGGCGGACGAAGAGACUGGUGUAGUGUAUUCGCGGUUGCAUGCGGCGGCGGCCUCCGAUUAGCCCCAAUUUUUGAAAGAAUUCAUUCUCUGUCCUUUGAUAUGAUCUUCACCGCCGCCGCCUCUUGAGAAAUUUUUAGCCCCUGAUCUUCGCACUACUUUCCCGAUUGGAGAUAAAGGCAACCGAUACCAAGACUUUGGAAUAAUUUAUUUUCACAUUUGAUUUAAUAUUUUUUAUUGUGUAAAUUAGGUGAUAGAAUAGAGAUAUAGUGCGCACCAACUUUUUUUGAUGAAAUAUGCUUCUGAAUCAUCUUCAUACCACUAUUGAAUGUAUAAUCAUGUUAGUCUUUCUUCACGUGUUUUUUUCUCUUUUGCCGAAUUGCUUAAAUUUUGGAAUUUUGGGGAUAUGUGUGUAAAUCUGAUCUUUAUUAUGUGUGGUCAUGUCAUAUUUGUUUAUUAUUCAUAAAUUAUUUAUGAGUAUCAUAUAAAUUAUUCAACAAACUUUAUUCCUUAUUCACAUAAAUAUGAUUUUUAUUCGAU